rnacentral:rRNA from 1 species
UACGUAGGGGGCAAGCGUUGUCCGGAAUCAUUGGGCGUAAAGAGCGCGUAGGCGGUCCGGUAAGUCGGUUGUGAAAACUGGGGGCUCAACCCUCAGAGGCCGACCGAUACUGCCGGGCUAGAGUCCGGAAGAGGCGAGUGGAAUUCCUGGUGUAGCGGUGAAAUGCGCAGAUAUCAGGAGGAACACCGGUGGCGAAGGCGGCUCUCUGGGCCUUACCUGACGCUGAGGAGCGAAAGCGUGGGUAGCGAACAGG